rnacentral:rRNA from 1 species
AGAGUUUGAUCAUGGCUCAGGACGAACGCUGGCGGCGUGCUUAACACAUGCAAGUCGAACGAUGAAGGUGGGAGCUUGCUUCUACCGGAUUAGUGGCGAACGGGUGAGUAACACGUGAGCAAUCUGCCCCUGACUCUGGGAUAACUCCGAGAAAUCGGUGCUAAUACCGGAUACGAACUGAGACCGCAUGGUCAUCAGUUGGAAAGAACUUCGGUCAGGGAUGAGCUCGCGGCCUAUCAGCUAGUUGGUGAGGUAAUGGCUCACCAAGGCGACGACGGGUAGCCGGCCUGAGAGGGUGACCGGCCACACUGGGACUGAGACACGGCCCAGACUCCUACGGGAGGCAGCAGUGGGGAAUAUUGCACAAUGGGCGCAAGCCUGAUGCAGCAACGCCGCGUGAGGGACGAAGGCCUUCGGGUUGUAAACCUCUUUUAGCAGGGAAGAAGCGAAAGUGACGGUACCUGCAGAAAAAGCACCGGCUAACUACGUGCCAGCAGCCGCGGUAAUACGUAGGGUGCAAGCGUUGUCCGGAAUUAUUGGGCGUAAAGAGCUCGUAGGCGGUUUGUCGCGUCUGCUGUGAAAAUCCGAGGCUCAACCUCGGACCUGCAGUGGGUACGGGCAAACUAGAGUGCGGUAGGGGAGAUUGGAAUUCCUGGUGUAGCGGUGGAAUGCGCAGAUAUCAGGAGGAACACCAAUGGCGAAGGCAGAUCUCUGGGCCGUAACUGACGCUGAGGAGCGAAAGCGUGGGGAGCGAACAGGAUUAGAUACUCUGGUAGUCCACGCCGUAAACGGUGGG